AGCCCAUGUAAGGAGCUGAGUCCUUAAGA
rnacentral:piRNA from 1 species